GUCCACAGGCUCAAGGACAAUAGAGCAGAAGGUUCACAGGCUCAAGGACAGUAGAGCAGAAGGUCCACAGGCUCAAGGACAGUAGAGAAGAAGGUCCACAGGCUCAAGGACAGCAGAGCAGAAGGUCCACAGGCUCAAGGACAGCAGAGCAGAAGGUCCACAGGCUCAAGGACAGUAGAGCAGAAGGUUCACAGGCUCAAG